AUGUACAUACCUACAACAUAGUGUUAAUGCACCGAAUCCCAUUAGAGCUCCGCAGUUGAGCGCGCUCAGGCUAGAGUAGUACUGGGAUGGGUGACCACCUGGGGAGUCCUAGUAUUUUACAUG
rfam:Picea glauca, whole genome shotgun sequence.